rnacentral:tRNA from 1 species
UCCUCAGUAGCUCAAUGGUAGAACGGUUGGUCAUUAAUUGACCGAUCGUAGGUUCGAAUCCUACUUAGGGAG